rnacentral:rRNA from 1 species
AGAGUUUGAUCCUGGCUCAGAACGAACGCUGGCGGCAGGCUUAACACAUGCAAGUCGAACGCCCCGCAAGGGGAGUGGCAGACGGGUGAGUAACGCGUGGGAAUCUACCUAGUUCUACGGAACAACUGAGGGAAACUUCAGCUAAUACCGUAUACGCCCUACGGGGGAAAGAUUUAUCGGAAUUAGAUGAGCCCGCGUAAGAUUAGCUAGUUGGUGGGGUAAUGGCCUACCAAGGCGACGAUCUUUAGCUGGUCUGAGAGGAUGGCCAGCCACAUUGGGACUGAGAGACGGCCCAGACUCCUACGGGAGGCAGCAGUGGGGAAUCUUGCGCAAUGGCCGAAAGGCUGACGCAGCGACGCCGCGUGGAGGAUGACGCCCUUCGGGGUGUAAACUCCUGUUGCCCGGGACGAAAGCCCGUUUCGACGGGGGUGACGGUACCGGGUGAGGAAGCACCGGCUAACUCUGUGCCAGCAGCCGCGGUAAUACAGAGGGUGCGAGCGUUGUCCGGAAUCACUGGGCGUAAAGGGCGCGUAGGCGGCUGGGUAAGCGUGUGGUGAAAGCCCGGGGCUCAACCCCGGGUCGGCCAUGCGAACUGCCCGGCUGGAGCACGGUAGAGGCGCAUGGAAUUCCGGGUGUAGCGGUGGAAUGCGUAGAGAUCCGGAAGAACACCGGUGGCGAAGGCGGUGUGCUGGGCCGUGGCUGACGCUGAGGCGCGACAGCGUGGGGAGCAAACAGGAUUAGAUACCCUGGUAGUCCAA